UUACAAGAGAACAAUUAGAUU
rnacentral:piRNA from 1 species